GCCCGGGUGGCUCAGGCGGUUGAGCGUCCGACUUCAGCUCAGGUCAUGGUCCCGCAGUUUGUGAGUUCGAGCCCCACAUCGGGCU
rnacentral:tRNA from 1 species